rnacentral:lncRNA from 1 species
CCCUGGUUCUGUAGGCACUGGGGGCGGGGCUGCAGUCCCCCAGCAGAUCUGCAGCUCCUCUGUCUGCCCCUCCUGCAAACACAGCCCUCAUAAUCCUCCUGAUGAGAUGCGAGUGUGUCCUUGGAGUGCCUGCUUUAUCUGACGGAGCUUUCCCUUUGGGGGACCACAGGAAGGAACGAGGCUGGAGUUUGAACAUAUUAGCAAUAUUUGUUUCUAAGAGGAAAACUGUAACAUACAGUCAAACUUUCCCAGAGACGCUGUCUAUGAAAUAUCUGAGAAGUUGAAGGAGUCUAUGAACAACACUCUCCCUUCCUGCUUGAGUUUGGAACUGAUUAAGACAGACACGGGAGCCGGGCAGAUGAGAGGAAAAGCAUGUGCGGCUGGUAAGAGCCAGCUUGGAGGAUGUGGCUUUUGCUGUGAGGCUGGCUGGGCCUGCUAAUU